CCUGGCACGAAGCAGGAGAUGGACCGAGAACUUCGAAACUUCUUCAGACUAGGACACUCUGAGAAUCCUGGAAAGGAGAUAGUCUACAAAAAAAAAAAAAAAAACCCAGGAGACCUGCCAGACAUGGGUAAGAAGAACUGUGAAGAUGGAGACCAACACUGGAGUUAGGCCAGAAGCCAAAGAAUGCUGAGGAUUGCCGGGAGCCACCAGAACCUGGAGGAGAGGUGAGGAAUAGAUACUUCCUCAGAGCCUUCAGAAAGAAUGGCCCCUGCUGACACUUUUGGGGGUCUGGCCUCUAGAACUGUAAGAGAAUAAAUGUCUAUUGUUUUAAGCCA